rnacentral:lncRNA from 1 species
GCAGAACGCGGCGGUCAGCUGCGCCCGGCCUGAAGUUGUCCCAACCGCGGCCGCGUCGGUCGCCCUUUUGACUUGCAGCAGGGCGGGCAGAGCGACUUAGAGGAAAAGUGACUUUUUGUACCCUCCUGCAGGGAGCAGGUUCUCUGUCCUUGUUUAAUUAGACAUUUCUCAGAGAAUCCUGCCUCUGCUCUGAAGCCUUUCUGUUCGCUCCAGUGAAAAUUAGUCAUCCACCGGGCGCGGUGGCUCACGCCUGCAAUCCCAGCACUUUGGGAGGCCGAGAGGUCCAUGGCCCUGAGGUUUUCUUCUGGAUGAUGAGAGGGGAAGCCUGGCAGCUUAGAGAGCUAUGGACUGCUUCAUACUGCAGAAGAAGAACCAAGAAUGGGCCAUGCUUAAGCUGAUUAAGAUGAUUCCCUUCUCUAUGUGGUUUGUCUCCAGGCAAAAAUAAGGACUUUAGAUCUGAGUGAAUCUAAAUAACUCAAGUCUAGUUCAAAUUAGUGUUUCUCCCUCUGUGAGUAAGGAAGGAUGUCUUUCCCUCCUAUCCCUCCUACUCUCUCUUGAGAGUCUUGGCCCUAGUAUUUAGAGCUUUAUAGAUAAAUACCAAGUUAUAAAGUUUAGCAAAGACACAGACCAACAGUCAGCAACAUUUUUUUAACCUUAAGGAAAAAAAAUACAUAAAACCAUUAUUCUAAACUGCCAACGCCAACUCUGUAAGAUUUUUUAUUGAGUAUAUUUUAAUGAGAUUAUAAACAGGGAGGCUCUCUGUUUUUGUAGCAAGUAACCAGCCAUUAGUUUGAACGGCCACCUGGGUACCAUUGCUUUCUAUCUUCUAAACACUGUGCCAUCAUUAAGGAUAUUCUGCACAAGAUGACAUUGCUGAGGGGUAACCUGGUUACCAUGCACACAUGGCUCACAGGGCUGCUGAGUGGUUUAGAGAAGUCUUGGAAGGUGCUACCCUUGUGACUCCCAAGCACCACUCCUGUCCCUGACUUCAAAUGAGGUAUAUAAUAGAUUUCAAAGACUUAUUUUAAAAUGCCCCCAGUUCAAUAAUUAUUUUUUAAAAAAUCAUAUUUGAUAACUCAAAUGGUUACCAAAUAUUUAAAAGAACUAGAAUCGAUUACCUCAUGGAAAGAAUGUUCAACUCUGCAUAUAGAAUUUCUUUUAGUCAUUCUAGGGAGAGUGAUGAAAAAGCAGUAAAUUAUUAUUGCACUCAGUUUUUAGUGGAUGAAUCUGGAAGCAAUAUUACCAGGAUCAGUGUAACUCUGUAUGUUAAGUCAUACCAUCAUGCUCUUUGCUGUUGCAUAAUUUAGCAGAAAAUGGUAUGAAGUUUAACAAACAAACAAGGUGCAUUUAAAAAUAAAUAUUGCUAAAAUGUAGCUAUAAACUUAGAAAAUCAGUGGAUACUAUCAAAUGAUAGCAUAAAGUCCCAAUCCCAUUUCCAAACAUCUUUAUCGGUACCCAGAGAUUUUCUGGAUGGGGAAUAGAGCUAGUUUCUAGUGAUGCAAUUAAGUGUGAAAAAUGGUCUUGUACUCAGUUGCUUACUUGUUUGAAAAACAGAUCUUGAACAUGAAAAAAAUGAACAAUAAAUCACAGAAUUUUCACCCAA